rnacentral:rRNA from 1 species
UACGAAGGGUGCAAGCGUUACUCGGAAUUACUGGGCGUAAAGGGUGCGUAGGUGGUUGUUUAAGUCUGUUGUGAAAGCCCCGGGCUCAACCUGGGAAUUGCAGUGGAUACUGGGAAGCUAGAGUGCGGUAGAGGGUAGUGGAAUUCCCGGUGUAGCGGUGAAAUGCGUAGAGAUCGGGAGGAACACCAGUGGCGAAGGCGGCUACCUGGACCAGCACUGACACUGAGUCACGAAAGCGUGGGGAGCAAACAGG